AGUUUGAUCAUGGCUCAGAUUGAACGCUGGCGGCAGGCCUAACACAUGCAAGUCGAACGGUAACAGGAAGCAGCUUGCUGCUUCGCUGACGAGUGGCGGACGGGUGAGUAAUGUCUGGGAAACUGCCUGAUGGAGGGGGAUAACUACUGGAAACGGUGGCUAAUACCGCAUAACGUCGCAAGACCAAAGAGGGGGACCUUCGGGCCUCUUGCCAUCAGAUGUGCCCAGAUGGGAUUAGCUAGUUGGUGAGGUAACGGCUCACCAAGGCGACGAUCCCUAGCUGGUCUGAGAGGAUGACCAGCCACACUGGAACUGAGACACGGUCCAGACUCCUACGGGAGGCAGCAGUGGGGAAUAUUGCACAAUGGGCGCAAGCCUGAUGCAGCCAUGCCGCGUGUAUGAAGAAGGCCUUCGGGUUGUAAAGUACUUUCAGCGGGGAGG
rnacentral:rRNA from 1 species